rnacentral:rRNA from 1 species
CCCUUCGAUGUUCUGGGCCGCACGCGCGCUACACUGAUGAAUGCAACGAGCUCUACCCUUGACCGAAAGGCCCGGGUAAACUUGUGAAACUUCAUCGUGAUGGGGAUAGAUUAUUGCAAUUAUUAAUCUUCAACGAGGAAUUCCUAGUAAGCGCGAGUCAUCAGCUCGCGUUGAUUACGUCCCUGCCCUUUGUACACACCGCCCGUCGCUCCUACCGAUUGAAUGGUCCGGUGAAAUCUUCGGAUUGCUGACCAAGAUCCAGCAAUGGAGCUUGGUUGCGAGAAGUUGAUUAAACCUUAUUAUUUAGAGGAAGGAGAAGUCGUAACA